rnacentral:rRNA from 1 species
UACAGAGGUCUCAAGCGUUGUUCGGAUUCAUUGGGCGUAAAGGGUGUGUAGGUGGCGCCGUAAGUCGGGUGUGAAAUCUCGGGGCUUAACUCCGAAACUGCAUUCGAUACUGCGGUGCUUGAGGGCUGGAGAGGAGAUCGGAAUUCACGGUGUAGCAGUGAAAUGCGUAGAUAUCGUGAGGAAGACCAGUGGCGAAGGCGGAUCUCUGGACAGCUCCUGACGCUGAGGCGCGAAGGCUAGGGGAGCAAACGGG